GUAGUCCGGAUUGGAGUCUGCAACUCGACUCCAUGAAGUCGGAAUCGCUAGUAAUCGUGGAUCAGAAUGCCACGGUGAAUACGUUCCCGGGCCUUGUACACACCGCCCGUCACACCAUGGGAGUGGGUUGCACCAGAAGUAGCUAGUCUAACCUUCGGGAGGACGGUUACCACGGUGUGAUUCAUGACUGGGGUGAAGUCGUAACAAGGUAGCCGUAGGGGAACCUGCGGCUGGAUCACCUCCUUAAUCGACAGAU
rnacentral:rRNA from 1 species